rnacentral:lncRNA from 10 species
GUCCCGAAAUUUAUUUCCAGUUCUGAGUGACUCAGCACCAUAUCUCUUUUUUUUAUUUUUUAUUUUUUAUUUUUUAUUUUUUAAUUUUUUUUUUUUUUUUAAUGGGUGACGUGGCGUGAAGGGAGGAAACAAAAGUAUCUUGGAUCUUGUCCAAGGUGAUGGGUUUGUGUGUGUACAUGACUCUUGAACUCAUCUAACUGUACACUUUUACUUGAGGCACAUUACUAUACAU